rnacentral:misc_RNA from 1 species
UACAGAGGCCUCAAGCAUUAUCCGGAUUCACUGGGCGUAAAGGGUGCGUAGGCGGUGAUAUUAGUCAGGUGUUAAAUCUUCGGGCUCAACCCGAAAAUCGCAUUUGAAACGGUAUCACUAGAAGAUGUGAGAGGUAAGCAGAACUCACGGUGUAGGGGUGAGAUCCGUUGAUAUCGUGGGGAAUACCAAAUGCGAAGGCAGCUUACUGGCACACUCUUGACGCUGAGGCACGAAAGCCAGGGGAGCGAACGGG